rfam:Gaeumannomyces graminis var. tritici R3-111a-1 unplaced genomic scaffold supercont2.1, whole genome shotgun sequence.
GGUUGUAUAACGUAAUGGUAGCGCAUUUGUUUUUGUAACGGGAAAUCCUGGGUUCGAUUUCCGGUGCAACUU